GUUUGAUUUAUUGAGACAGUGCAAACUGUAGCUUGCAAGCAUUUGAACAGUAAAUAAAGUGCAGUAUUACAAUGAACAAUGGAGCGUUAACAAGUGCAGCAAGUGGAUUUUUCUGAACACAUUCUUUGACAGCUUUUUAAGCUGGACACUGAACAUGAGCUAGCCAGUCUAGCCACUAGGUAAGUAAACAUGGUACCAUGGCUUCUCCAAAACAGCCAAUAAUUCAAGUCACAAAGAACAACAUUUAAACAUUUACCAUAAAAUGUACCCAUCGUAGCAGAGUAGUUUAAGGCCUGUAGGCCUACAAGGGUCAAAGACGUUACGCUUGCUUUUUCUGUCCGACAGGACUUUUUACCUAAUAAUAAACAUUAAAAUGAAUAAAAAUAUAACAUGUAUGCCUAAUACCUUCCUUAUACAUGUGCCCACUCUUAUUUCUUUAAACUUGUUGGUUAUUGGUCAUUUUCUACCAUCUGAAAUGUGAAAACAUCAUGUGGGGCGACCGUCCGGCCUUGACUUCUGUUUGGACAACUGGUUUUGAAUCACAUUAAAACAAUUUAAAUAUAAUCCUUGCCCUAUUUGGCAUAAUUUCAAACUUGUUUUCCAUUUAUUGACAAAGUUAUGAGGCAUUUGUACAUACAUUUCAAUCAUAAUACACAAACAAAUCUUGUCUGAGUAUGUUCAUUGUCUGAAAUAUCAUCCGGGGCGACCAUCGAGAAAAUACAAUUAUGGGACUUUUAUUUUGACAAUCAUCUAAAGGAGGAUGUUGCAUCAGCCAGCCACACCCUGAGGGUCCCAGAGAGACAACUUGCAGAUGGCCCCUCUAACAAGCAAACAAAAGACUGCUCGCUACAGGCAGUGGAUCAAUGCAGACCCUGCAGCAAGAGCUGACUACCUUGCCAGGAAAAAUGCUACCAGAGAAGAAAGCAACAGGGCAACUGACACCACCAUCUUUAGAGAACACUCCAACAGUUCUAGUUGGUAUAGAGGUCAAUAAGCAGCAGGAUAAUCCAGGGCAAGUUGUGGUGAAUCCCUUACAAGGAAUUUAACCCACCGGUGUCCUCUACACCAGAGAGAGAAAGAGAGAAUACACCAGUUCAACUGGCUGCGCCAGGCAGAGCAGUUCCGCCUCCUCAAACAAAACAUCAUGGAGUGUGAAGCUGUUCUGCAUAUCGACUUUUCUGAAAACUAUGCCUGCAAGCUAAGCACAGAGAUCCAGUCUUUUCACUUUGGAGGCAGUAGACGACAGGCUACUAUUCACACGGCAGUCCUGUACACUGUCCAUGGAACCAAGUCUUAUGCAACACUGUCUGACUGCCUUCGACAUGAUGAAUGGGCAGUGUGGGCACAUCUAGAGCCUAUCUUGAAAGAGCUUCGGAAAACCUUCCCACAAAUCACUACCCUCCACAUUCUGAGUGAUGGGCCUGUUACACAGUACCGUAACAAAAAUAACUUUUACUUGCUCAGUACUGUGCCUUUCCUCUCAGCAAUCAAAAAUGUGACCUGGAAUUACUCAGAAAAAUCCCAUGGAAAAGGGGCCCCAGAUGGGAUUGGUGGGACAAUAAUGGGUGAUAAGCGAGAGCAUCGAAAAAUGUGACGAGUUGAUUCCUGGCAACUUGGAGGCUGUGAAAGGCACCAUGAAGUUCCACCAAGAUGUGUCAUCACAGCCUGCAAAGAUCACGCACAGGGAGGUGUCUUGCUUCUGUAAGCACUUAGAGACGAGUCCAUGCCCUUGUUACCAGACAGUAACUGUAGACCAGAAAGCCACCAUACGCCAAACUGAGAAACCUGAGCCACCCAGUGAACAAGACAGUGUGCUAACUGACAACCCCUCAAGCUCUCCACCUGAGCCACCCAGGGAACAAUAAAGUGUCCUAGAUCUGUGUGGCAGGUUUGUGAUAGUAACCUACGAUGAGCUUCCAUAUGUAGGCCAGGUCCUAAAGGUUGCGGAAGAGGAGCUGCAGAUCAGCUGUAUGCGACAGUCUGAUGACAAGAACUUGUUCUUGUGGCCACAAACUCCAGAUGUUACUUUCUACUUUUGGAAAGAUGUUCACGCUGUAAUUUCAGAGCCUGAGCCAGCAACAUCACGCUUCUCGAAGUUGACGUGCCAAGACUGAGUAAAGUUCAGAAAUGCCUGGGGUUAAAGAAAUGCCUCCAGAUUAAGCCUACAACGUGUCUGGAGUUAGGAGUUAUGUAAUAGUGAGGAACAUGCUAAUGUUAUGUUUGUGUCAAAUGAAAAAGAAAUAGUUAUGUGCUGAUUCUUUUAUAAAAAAAAAUAAAUUUGUCUCAACUCUGUAAAUUAUUGAAUAGCCUUAACUGCCUGCUGUUUCUCAUCAUUUGGGGUGACCACCUGUCAUGUGGGGUAACCAAUGAUUGGCAAUUCUGUACUAAAUUCAAAAUUUAAUGUCUAUCAGUUUUGGUUGAAAUAUUAAUCAUUGGUAUAGCAUACAUACGUGGAUACUAUCUAUACACAUUUUAAAUCAGUUUUAUGAAUUCUAGAGUAAGAAAUGUAUAUGUAACGGCUUUAUGAGGGAGACACUGCCAUUAUAGAUAAAAUAUAAUUUAAAAAUGGUUUACAAAAAAUGAAAGGACACAGGAGAAUCUUUCAUAAACAGUUCAUUUAAUUACUGAUACUUAUUAAAAUACAAGUUAUGUUAAGGAAAUCUAUUAAUUUUGAGGUAAAUAACGGUCGCCCCAAAUGACUUUUUUAAGGUUGUUGCCCUAUUAAUUUAAGUUUAAAAACACUAAAAUAUCUUUGAAGUUUUCACAUACAUGCAUGAGUACACUACAUUCCAAAUGUUUGGAAAAUGGCCAAAUAUAUCUUUAAGUAUUUUGCAAAUGGGCCACUCAAAGGUCUUAUCCCUCUUUGACCCACAAGUAUGUGAGGUAGCCACUCUAGCCACCAGGACAGUAAAAAUAAACUAUGG